UACGUAGGGGGCAAGCGUUGUCCGGAUUUAUUGGGCGUAAAGCGCGUGUAGGCGGCCAGAUAGGUCUGCUGUGAAAACUCGAGGCUCAACCUCGAGCUGUCGGCGGAAACCAUCUGGCUAGAGUCCGGAAGAGGAGAGUGGAAUUCCUGGUGUAGCGGCGAAAUGCGCAGAUAUCAGGAAGAACACCUAUGGCGAAGGCAGCUCUCUGGGACGGUACUGACACUGAGACGCGAAAGCGUGGGGAGCGAACAGG
rnacentral:rRNA from 1 species